CAGCUGAGCAGUGCUUAGGGAGGGGGACGAAGGCUGCUUCAUCCAGCAGCAGACGCAGAGAAAGAUGAUGGCCAACUCUCAGGAAACCAGAUCUCCCCUAAUCCCCAAAUUGUGUCUCCUGUGGAUCGUUAACCAAACAUCUUGUCCACGGCUUAAUUGCAGCCAAUUAUGCCAGCAGGGAAAAGUGCAUCUUCAUUGUCUGGACACAGAGCAAAGCUGAGCAGGAAAGCUGGAUCAAUCUACUCAAAGAAAAUGUAACAAAUGGGGCUUUGUCAGAUUCAAGCGUCCUCAAAGAGAUGACCUUCUGAUCUCCACUUCUGCCUCUCUUUGUAGCUGAGUGCAAAAAGUUCUGGGAAGAGCUCAUCCUCACCCCUGCAACCAGCUGUCCCACCAAGGCUGCUUCCUGGGACCAGUUCCAGCCUGAACAUCUCAGUCCAUUGCAGCUGGGCCAAACCAGCUCUGCCUUCCCAAAGCUGCUCUCAGCUCCUCUCCCAUCUGCUGCUUUCUGGCACAGAGGCAGCAGCAAGGCAGAGCCUUGGGUACCUGCCACCAGCCCCGUUUUGCAUUCAAAGCCAUCUCACAUGUUGUCUUGAGCACCCACUCGGCCCAGAGCAGCUGCAGUUCCAAAAAACCCCCACAGAAAAUGUCAGAAGAUGAUACUCAGGGCAAUAUUAAGCACAAGUGACUGGGCUGUGCAACAGCAAAGCUCCCAGCUGCACAGUCCUCAGCUUCUCUGCCACAAGAGAGAAACUGCUAACCCUGUACUGACUUUGAGCUCAUUUGAAUCAAGUGUUAAUAAAGCCUCCUUCUGAUGCUUUUUCUCCUUC